rnacentral:rRNA from 1 species
CUCCAGACUCCUACGGGAGGCAGCAGUGGGGAAUAUUGGGCAAUGGGCGCAAGCCUGACCCAGCAACGCCGCGUGAAGGAAGAAGGCUUUCGGGUUGUAAACUUCUUUUGACAGGGAAGAGUAGAAGACGGUACCUGUCGAGUAAGCUCCGGCUAACUACGUGCCAGCAGCCGCGGUAAUACGUAGGGAGCAAGCGUUAUCCGGAAUUAUUGGGUGUAAAGGGUGCGUAGACGGGACAGCAAGUUAGUUGUGAAAGCCCUCGGCUUAACUGAGGAACUGCAACUAAAACUAUUGUUCUUGAGUGCAGGAGAGGAAAGCGGAAUUCCUAGUGUAGCGGUGAAAUGCGUAGAUAUUAGGAGGAACACCAGUGGCGAAGGCGGCUUUCUGGACUGUAACUGACGUUGAGGCACGAAAGUGUGGGGAGCAAACAGGAUUAGAUACCCCAGUAUG